rnacentral:rRNA from 1 species
UGGGGAAUAUUGCACAAUUGGCGCAAGCCUGAUGCAGCCAUGCCGCGUGUAUGAAUAAGGCCUUCGGGUUUUAAAGUACUUUCAGCUUGGAGGAAGUUAGUAAAGUUAAUACCUUUGCUCAUUGACGUUACCCGCAGAAGAAGCACCGUCUAACUCCGUUCCAGCAGCCGCGGUAAUACUGAGGGUGCAAGCGUUACUCGGAAUUACUUGGCGUAAAGCGCACGCAGGCGGUUUGUUAAGUCAGAUGUGAAAUCCUCGGGCUCAACCUGGGAACUGCAUCUGAUACUGGCAAGCUUGAGUCUCGUAGAGGGGGGUAGAAUUCCAGGUGUAGCGGUGAAAUGCGUAGAGAUCUGGAUGAAUACCGGUGGCGAAGGCGGCCCCCUGGACGAAGACUGACGCUCAGGUGCGAAAGCGUGGGGAGCAAACAGG